UGUUACAAGACAAACAAGUUAGUGAACAAGUUAAUGUGUGUGAGUUGAGUUGUGUUUAGAUUAUGUAUGUAAUUACAUUUAUUUAGACAUAUAACAGGUGCAUUUUGUGUCCUUUUCCCUAAUAUCUCAAGUAUAUGUUCAACAGGCCCAACUGAGAAGCAGUUUAGCCUGCAGGGCUCUCAGCCUGUGGAGACAGAAUCUCAAAGCCUGACAGAUGGAGAGAGACUGACCUCAGAGCUCCGAGACAUCAUUCGAUCAUUUAUAGAGAAGGUAGAUGAAUUCAAAAUGUGCGUCACCACUAUGUCAAUGAAUGUGGAGGAGCAACAGAUGGUACUUAAGAGCAUGAUGGAAGCGCAGGAUCAGCUGGAGAGGAAUUACCUCACAAAGAGGGAUGAGCAUCGUGCUCUGGAGAUGCAGAACUACAGGGGUCUAGGCAGAAACACAGGACAGUUUGACCCUGACAGGUAGACAUCUCGUCUGGUGUUUUAUAACUAACA